rnacentral:piRNA from 1 species
UNCAUGGUGACUGUUUAGGGAGGUAUGGA